GACAGAGGGGGCAAGCGUUGUCCGGAGUUACUGGGCGUAAAGCGCGCGGAGGCGGUCUGCGGCGUCGGCGCUGAAAGCGCCCCGCUUAACGGGGCGAGGCGUGCCGAUACGCGUAGACUUGAGGCGAGCAGAGGGUGGUGGAAUUCCGGGUGGAGCGGUGAAAUGCGUAGAGAUCCGGAGGAACGCCAGUGGGGAAGCCGGCCACCUGGGCUCGUCCUGACGCUGCGGCGCGACCGCGUGGGGAGCAAACCGG
rnacentral:rRNA from 1 species